rnacentral:rRNA from 1 species
AUUUGAAUAUACCGGUUCUCGUUAGAUCACCGAAGUUAAGCAUCAUUGGGCGCGGUCAGUACUUGGGUGGGUGACCACCUGGGAACACUGCGUGCCGUU